UGAAACUGCCCAACGGCCGCCCACGACCAACCCGGAGUAUAAAUACGAACCGCGGCAUAACAUUUUUCGAUUUCAUUCGUGACGCUGCACUAGUGACGUUCACUUUCGACAACCUGUUGUCUUAGGUAAGCAACACCGAUACGAAUUACGAGUUUUCGGUUUGUGGUCUAUUUUUCAUACUUACUUUACUCUUGAUUAGGUUACAGUUUUAAGGCCAAAAGUAGGUAGUGAUUUGAUCCCCGAAAAUAAGGGUUACAAAAAAAUAACAAAAAUGUAAAACUGUAGAGCUGCUUGUUUCUUAAAUGUACUAUUUUACAAAUUGCGAAAAAAAAUAAUUCUUCCCGAGAUAAUGAUUGCACCUGCUUAAAUGGAACACUCUGUAUUCCUAUCACCGUGUGGCCAUGGUGAUAGGUGAAGUGCGUUCUUACAGUGGUGUACUAAAGACAUCGGGUAAAGUUAUCGGCUAGUAUUAACAUUUAAUUUAAUCCUAAAUACUAAUUUCAAUCAAUAACGUUUUUCGUUAUAUUAUUAACAUAUGUUUUUUUUUUCUAUCAAUCAAUGUGUUAUCUAUUCUAUUUUAUUUUUUAGUGCCGAAACCAGGGAACCUUUCGAUAUUCAAACGAAUCGGGUUGCCCUGCGCAAAUAUUUCGUGCGUCGUAUACUCCCGCACCUACUGGAGUGAUGGUUUUUUACAGUGUGAAAAUAUGCCUUCAGACUCGCCGACAUUUCGCAUACGAAAUAUGAACAAGCUAUAUAAGCUACCUACACUCAAUUUUCGAUAAUGCCUAUAUACGCGCGAAAUAAUAGCGAAACAUCUCUAUUUCGUUAGACUAUGUUUUUGACUAGUGAAUUAAACAAAAUUAAUAUGAAUAGUGC